CCUACGGGAGGCUGCAGUGAGGAAUAUUGGUCAAUGGACGGAAGUCUGAACCAGCGAUGCCGCGUGCAGGAAGACGGCUCUAUGAGUGGUAAACUGCAUUUGUACAAGGGUAAACCGGAAGACGUGGAUUCAGCUGACAGGACUGAACGAAUAAGGAUAGGCGAACUACGUGCCAGCAGGCGAGGUAAUACGGAGGAUCCAAGCGUUAUCCGGAGUUAAUGGGGUUAAGGGGGGCGUAGGCGGAGUGAUAAGGUAGAGGGGAAAUGUCGGAGCUUAACUCGGGAACUGCCUCUAAUACUGUUGAUCUAGAGAGUAGGUGCGGUAGGCGGAAUGGAUAGUGUAGCGGUGAAAUGCUUAGAGAUCAUACAGAACACCAAUUGCGAAGGCAGCUUACUAAGCUAUAUCUGACGUUGAGGCACGAAAGCGUGGGGAGCAAACAGGAUUAGAUACCCGGGUAGUC
rnacentral:rRNA from 1 species